rnacentral:lncRNA from 1 species
AAAGCACUAGCAUCUUUCUACACAGGAAAAGGAACUGUCUGCACUGUUAAGAGCCCCAUCUCUUUGCUGGGCUCAGCAAAUCUUGUGAGGCAGAGAGAAAAUGCCUAUGAGAUACCAUAAAUAUGGGAGGUGACUGACCAGCCAGAGAACUGCUGACCAGACUGGUGCAGAGGACAGGACCACAAAAGACAUGGUCGAGAGCAGCCUGGGAUUGAACAUUGUCAGUGCCAUCGUCUCAGGGAUUGGGAUCUAUUUACUUCUGGGCAGUUUAGGCACUACAUUUAUCUUCUUUCAUCUUUAUGCCACUGAGUCUGAUGUCUAUCCUAUGGCCUUCUCCAUCUUACUUGUCACCCUCACGAUGCCUUUCUCUCCCUAUGUGCCAGAAGUCCCAGCUGCUGCAACCCACAAAGAAGGGUUGGUGAUUCAGGGCUCAGAUGCUGUUGAGGACAAGUCCCCAGGAAGCCAUCUGGAUUUUGGCAUUCGAACCACGAGCUUCCCCAUCGCCAUGGAUGAGAAAUCAGAAGCCAAUGGAUGCCGGGCCCAGGUCCUUCUCUUAAUCCAACAAUGAUUCUACUGCUGUUCCAGACACCUAAUAACCAGCUCAACUGGAUCCCUUUUCUCAUAGAACUUUCCUGAACUCAGUUGUCCUGUACUUUCAACAGACAUCAUCCUGCUUAGAUUCCCUGAGCUUGACCUGCUUUUGAAACUCUUUCAUCCUCUUCUGAACCCCAGCUUUCCUCACGAUGUCUCACACGUUUUUCGCAACUGUCAUACACAGUGUCUGGCACAUAGUAGGUGCUUAAUAAAUGUUGAUAGGUUGCUUAAUUGAUUAAACUG